rnacentral:rRNA from 1 species
AGUGAACGCUGGCGGUAGGCCUAACACAUGCAAGUCGAACGGCAGCACAGUAAGAGCUUGCUCUUACGGGUGGCGAGUGGCGGACGGGUGAGGCAUACAUCGGAAUCUACUUUUUCGUGGGGGAUAACGUAGGGACACUUACGCUAAUACCGCAUACGACCUACGGGUGAAAGCAGGGGUUCUUCGGACCUUGCGCGAUUGAAUGAGCCGAUGUCGGAUUAGCUAGUUGGCGGGGUAAAGGCCCACCAAGGCGACGAUCCGUAGCUGGUCUGAGAGGAUGAUCAGCCACACUGGAACUGAGACACGGUCCAGACUCCUACGGGAGGCAGCAGUGGGGAAUAUUGGGCAAUGGGCGCAAGCCUGAUCCAGCCAUACCGCGUGAGUGAAGAAGGCCUUCGGGUUGUAAAGCCCUUUUGUUGGGAAAGAAAAGCAGCAGGUUAAUACCCCGCUGUUCUGACGGUACCCAAAGAAUAAGCACCGGCUAACUUCGUG